AUUGAACGCUGGCGGCAUGCGUAACACAUGCAAGUCGUGCGAGAAACCCCGGUUCGCCGGGGGAGUAAAGCGGCGCACGGGUGAGUAACACGUGGGUAAUCUACCUCUGUCUGGGGGAUAACACACCGAAAGGUGUGCUAAUACCGCAUAACCUAGCCUGAUUGCGGUCAGGUUAGCAAAGGUGGCCUCUCCUUGGAAGCUACCGGGUGGAGAUGAGCCCGCGUCCCAUUAGCUUGUUGGUAGGGUAAAAGCCUACCAAGGCGACGAUGGGUAGCUGGUCUGAGAGGACGGCCAGCCACACUGGAACUGGAACACGGUCCAGACUCCUACGGGAGGCAGCAGUGAGGAAUAUUGCGCAAUGGGGGCAACCCUGACGCAGCGAUGCCGCGUGGGUGACGAAGGUCUUCGGAUCGUAAAGCCCUGUCAGGUGGGAAGAAUAGCUUGGGGGACAAUACCCUCCAGGUGUGACGGUACCACCGAAGGAAGCACCGGCUAACUCCGUGCCAGCCGCCGCAGUAAAAC
rnacentral:rRNA from 1 species